rnacentral:misc_RNA from 1 species
AGAAUACUGAUGUUGUUGGGAAUUCCAGUGAAUGUUUGUUGAGUAAUGGAGACGAGAGUCCAAAGGUGGAAGAGUCUAGUGUCGGCGAUGGGGUUGUGAAGAAGCGAAAUAUUGGGUUACGGGGACGUGGUGCAAUGAACACCAGCAAACAUUUGUGGGCUGGAGCAGUUGCUGCAAUGGUAUCAAGAACUGUUGUUGCUCCACUUGAAAGACUAAAGCUGGAAUAUAUAGUUCGUGGUGAACAGAAGCACCUCUUGGAGCUCAUCAAAACAAUUGCAGUUACUCAAGGCUUGAGAGGCUUUUGGAAAGGGAACUUGGUUAAUAUACUUCG